GCCCUUGUAGCUCAGUUGGAUAGAGCGGCGGACUUCUAAUCCGUAGGUCGUAGGUUCGAUUCCUACCGAGGGCGCCA
rnacentral:tRNA from 1 species